GAGUCUCUUCCUUUCCUUUUUCGUUGUUUCUUGGUAGGGCGCGUUCUAGGGGAUCACACCGGCGCCAUCGAAUUCGUGUCACAGGUGGAUAGAUCGCGUCCUGGUGCCUUGAUCCGUGCGGCGCUGCGGCGAUCGCCGGUGUCGAUCAGGGUUUUCAGGGUUUUCAAUCGGGCAAUUUCUCUUCCCCGGGCCUCUACUGCUAUGAGAUCCUAGGGUCACCAGAUUCGGGAUGGAGCCGCGCAUAGGCAACAAGUAUCGGCUCGGUCGAAAGAUUGGAAGUGGAUCUUUCGGCGAAAUCUAUCUAGGUACGAAUAUCCAAACAAACGAAGAAGUUGCGAUCAAAUUGGAAAGCGUCAAGACCAAACACCCGCAAUUGCUAUACGAGUCUAAGCUGUAUAGAAUCCUUCAGGGAGGAACUGGAAUACCUAACAUAAGAUGGUUUGGAAUCGAAGGGGAUUACAAUGGUCUAGUUUUAGAUCUGCUCGGCCCAAGUCUUGAGGAUCUUUUCAAUUUUUGUAACCGUAAGUUCUCGCUGAAGACCGUGCUCAUGCUUGCGGAUCAACUGAUAAACAGAGUGGAGUAUGUGCACUCAAAGAGCUUUUUGCACCGGGAUAUUAAGCCAGAUAACUUUCUUAUGGGUCUUGGAAGGCGCGCAAAUCAGGUGUAUAUUAUCGACUUUGGUCUUGCCAAGAAGUACCGUGAUCCUUCUACACACCAGCACAUCGCUUACAGAGAGAACAAGAAUCUGACUGGAACUGCACGCUAUGCGAGUAUCAAUACGCACCUCGGAAUCGAGCAAAGUAGAAGGGAUGAUCUCGAGUCUUUGGGCUACGUUCUCAUGUAUUUCCUUCGAAGCAGUCUUCCAUGGCAAGGACUCAAGGCUGGAACCAAGAAGCAGAAAUACGAGAAGAUAAGCGAGAGGAAGAUGUCUACAACGAUUGAGUCGUUGUGCAAGAGUUACCCUUCCGAAUUUCACUCAUAUUUUCAUUAUUGUCGGUCGCUUCGAUUUGACGACAAACCAGACUACGCGUAUUUGAAGAGAAUCUUUCGCGAUCUAUUUAUUCGAGAAGGUUUCCAAUUCGAUUACGUGUUUGAUUGGACGAUACUAAAAUAUCAACAAGCGCAAAUGUCUAGUGGCCCCCCAAGAGGAAUGGCUGGGCUCGUAGGCACGAGCAAUGGUGCAACAAUUGCUGCUGACAGGGUCCAAGGCGUCCAAGAUACCCAUGAUGCUCCUCGGAACUCGGAUAUCCCAUGGAGACAAAUAAAUGGUACCGCAGCGACGUCCACGGUGGAGAACCCGAAGCACAAGAACUUGGAGCCUGACAGUGCGGCAGCAACCAAAGACAGCGGAGAUGUGGUGGAAGAUCAGACCCGACCACCCUUGGUUCGUCACAUUGUACCAAAGAAACUGAACCCGCUUGAUGCAGCCAAGUCGCGUUUCCUAGGUCCGCUUGAUCCUGUACCCAAGUCACGACUGGUUGGUCCAUCGGAAGCUCUAGCUAAAGCACGGUUCUUUGGUCCCCCUGUGUUUAGCCCAGCACCAUUGCAGCGAAGCUCAGCUAUCUCCUCAGUUGAGCCUAAGCGGAUGGUAUUUAAUCGUCAUCCGACUACGUGACCGGAGAGAGAGAGUGGUGAGAGGGAGGUGUGAGAGAGAGAGCUUGAGUUCUAGCAGUGAGGGGGCGCGGGGGUUCUUCGUGGUUUUUUUUUCUCUCUUCUUUCGUUUUUUUCUUCGUUGGGUGUUGUGGAACUCUCCCUCGCUCCCUCGCUCUCUCUCGGCGUAUCUAUCUUCCAUCUUUCAUCGCGAUGGAGGCUGGCAUGCGAUGAGGAAUAAGAGAUGUCUCCAUGGUUUGCUUUUGCUUUUGCUUUUACUUUCGACUGGUUUUGUUUUUGUCUUGCUUUUCUAUCGUUGGUUUCUUGACUCCCAUCGAGUGGUCGCGAUUUGAGCUAUGGAAACUUUGGAAAUAAGUCUGGUUCCUUCCGCGGUGGUGGCGCCAAGGAGUAAAAGCACAGUAUAAGCGCAAGAGCGAGCAGCAGCAGCAGCGAUCGAUCGAUCGAUCAGUCAUCAAAAAAUCUCAGCAGCUCCGAGAAGGACGACCACGAGAAAAAAAGAGAAAGAACCCGACCAAGAGAAACACUGGGAACGUACCACUGGGCUGCUGCUACGCUAAGAAAGCUAUACAACCUCACAAACCAAGCCAGUGUACAAACAGGAACUCAAAGCUUGCUCUGGGUAAAUAAGCUAUCGAUUUUCAUGAAAUUUUCAUGAUACUA